GGUUAGCCCUGAUAGAAGCGGUAUCCUUUUUGUCUCGUUUUUUUACGAGACAAAAAGAUACAAGUGGAUAGCAGGAAUAAGC
rnacentral:sRNA from 1 species